UACAGAGGUAGCAAGCGUUAAUCGGAAUUACUGGGCGUAAAGGGUGCGUAGGUGGUUUUUUAAGUCAGAUGUGAAAUCCCUGGGCUCAACCUAGGAAUUGCAUUUGAUACUGAAUAACUGGAGUGUGGUAGAGGGAAGUGGAAUUUCCGGUGUAGCGGUGAAAUGCGUAGAUAUCGGAAGGAACAUAAGUGGCGAAGGCGACUUCCUGGACCACUACUGACACUGAGGCACGAAAGCGUGGGGAGCAAACGGG
rnacentral:rRNA from 1 species